rnacentral:rRNA from 1 species
ACUAGGGAUCGGGCGAUCUUAUCUAUGUACGUCUGCGUCGGCACCUUACGAGAAAUCAAAGUCUUUGGGUUCUGGGGAGGUUAUGGUCACAAGGCUGAAACUUNAAGAAUUGACGGAAGGGCACCACCAGGUGUGGAGCCUGCGGCUUAAUUUGACUCAACACGGGGAAACUCACCAGGUCCAGACACAAUAAGGAUUGACAGAUUGAGAGCUCUUUCUUGAUUAUGUGG